UACAGAGGGUGCAAGCGUUGUUCGGAAUCACUGGGCGUAAAGGGCGCGUAGGUGGCGACCCAAGUCAAUGGUGAAAGCUCGAUGCUCAACAUCGAGUCGGCCACUGAUACUGGGUUGCUUGAGCACUGUAGAGGCUAAUGGAAUUCCGGGUGUAGCGGUGGAAUGCGUAGAGAUCCGGAAGAACACCGGUGGCGAAGGCGGUUAGCUGGGCAGUUGCUGACACUGAGGCGCGACAGCGUGGGGAGCAAACAGG
rnacentral:rRNA from 1 species